UACGUAAGGGGCAAGCGUUAUCCGGAUUUACUGGGUGUAAAGGGAGCGUAGACGGCAGGGCAAGUCUGGAGUGAAAGGCGGGGGCUCAACCCCCGGACUGCUCUGGAAACUGCCAGGCUGGAGUGCAGGAGAGGUAAGUGGAAUUCCUAGUGUAGCGGUGAAAUGCGUAGAUAUUAGGAGGAACACCAGUGGCGAAGGCGGCUUACUGGACUGUAACUGACGUUGAGGCUCGAAAGCGUGGGGAGCAAACAGG
rnacentral:rRNA from 1 species